rnacentral:rRNA from 1 species
AAGUCAGGGGUGAAAUCCCACAGCUCAACUGUGGAACUGCCUUUGAUACUGUCAGUCUAGAGUAUAGUUGAAGUUGGCGGAAUGUGUCAUGUAGCGGUGAAAUGCUUAGAUAUGACACAGAACACCGAUCGCGAAGGCAGCUAGCUAAGCUAUAACUGACGCUCAUGCACGAAAGCGUGGGGAUCAAACAGGAUUAGAUACCCUGGUAGUCCACGCUGUAAACGAUGAUUACUCGAUGUUGGCGAUACACAGUCAGCGUCUGAGCGAAAGCAAUAAGUAAUCCACCUGGGGAGUACGAUCGCAAGAUUGAAACUCAAAGGAAUUGACGGGGGCCCGCACAAGCGGAGGAGCAUGUGGUUUAAUUCGAUGAUACGCGAGGAACCUUACCUGGGCUCGAACGUAAGAUGACUGUAGGUGAAAGCUUACAUCUCUUCGGAGCAUUUUACGAGGUGCUGCAUGGUUGUCGUCAGCUCGUGCCGUGAGGUGUCGGGUUAAGUCCCAUAACGAGCGCAACCCCUACCUUUAGUUGCCAUCAGGUCAUGCUGGGGACUCUAAAGGAACUGCCUACGCAAGUAGUGAGGAAGGCGGGGAUGACGUCAAAUCAGCACGGCCCUUACGUCCAGGGCUACACACGUGCUACAAUGGCCGAUACAGAGGGCAGCUACCUGGUGACAGGAUGCAAAUCUCCAAAGUCGGUCUCAGUUCGGAUCGGAGUCUGCAACCCGACUCCGUGAAGUUGGAUUCGCUAGUAAUCGCGCAUCAGCCAUGGCGCGGUGAAUACGUUCCCGGGCCUUGUACACACCGCCCGUCAAGCCAUGGAAGCUGGGGGGACCUAAAGUCGAUAACCGCAAGGAGUCGCCUAGGGUAAAACCAGUGACUGGGGCUAAGUCGUAACAAGGUAGCCG